GGAGACGGGGAGAGAGGAGGAGAGGGGGAGUGAGCAGUAGAGGAGUGAGAGAGAGGGGGGAGAGGCGUUGAGUGAGCAGACCCAAUCUUUUGACUCUUUUGGGCCUACCCCCUCGACGAAAGCUAUUUUCAUAAAGCUGUGUGUGCUUGUGUGUGUGUAUGUGUGAAGCCAAGCCAGAGGGCUGCUUGAGAUCCAGGUCCACUAGAACCAGACCCAGCUGAGAAAACAAAUGGCCUCUCUCUCUUCUUUCCCCCUCCCUCCCUCUCUCCGUUCAUUCAAUUUUAUUUGUCCUUUUUUUUCUCCAGAAUGGUCAUUUCAUCAGGUAGGAGAGCUAAUCAGAACCAGAACACAGCUACUGACCCCUCCGCUAUCCCCUCGUAAUCCUCAAACUCUGCUUCUCAUUUUCUUCGACCUGGAGGAGGUGUCACCGGUUUCCCCAUUAGUCCCUGGUUUUGACCCUUGCCUGCCUUGACACUGAACCCGCCUGCCUGACCAUACUGCCUGCCCUGACCUCGAGUCUGCCUGCCACUCUGACCUUGUUAUGAUCUUUUGCCUGUCCACGACCAUUCUCUUGCCUGAGCCUUAUAUUACAAUAAAUAUCAGAGACUCGAACCAUCUGCCUCCCGUGUCUGCAUCUGGGUCUCGCCCUGUGCCCUUAUAGUACGAACUGGCCAUGACAGAUUCAGCGGAAUUGAACCAGCUCCGCCACACUGUCUCCCUGCAGGGAGCCACCAUUGGGAGGCAUGAGGAGCUACUGCUAGACCUUUUGGAAGGGCUUCGUUCCCUGACGGAACGCCACAGCAGAGGUGAGGAAGGUUUUAGAUUCUCCAGCAUCCGGGAGAGAGGCAGCCCGAAAACUACUUGAACAACGUCAAGACUCACGUAGUGUGGACUGUAGACUUUUGCAUGUUGGCCGCCGAAAGUGCCUGGAAUCCGGAGUCCCUAUUCGAUGCCUUCCUUCACGGAUGAUCAGAGGUGAUAAAAGAUGAGCUAGCUGCUCGGGAGUUACCGGGGGACCUCGAUUCCCUGAUUGCCCUCACCAUUAGGAUUGAUAGACGUCUACGGGAACUCAGGAGUGAGAGGAGGUCUGGCCUAGGUCACACUCGUCCAUCCGCUGCGGCUCGCUCACCUCCGAAGGAAUCCGGAAGUCCCCGAAGGCAGUUUUUCCGAGAGGAUUCGAGGCCACCCGAGCUCCCUUGAGAAUCAUCGACGACGGGUGAGUCAGAUACACCGAAACCUAUGCAACUGGGAAGAGCUAGAUUAUCGCCUAGGGAACGUUCACGCAGGCUAAGCUCCAAUAGUUGUCUGUAUUGUGGUGCUGUAGGGCAUUACAUAGCCACCUGCCCAGUGAAGAGACUUGAAUCCUUAGUAGGUACAAGAACACUG
ensembl:lncRNA